GCUCAUAUAUAUACCCAGAGCAUUUGGUCAAUUGAAACGAUAUACGGAGAAGAUUUGCAUGGCCUCUGCUCUAAGGAUGACACGCUCAAUCAAAGACAAGCUACAAGUUUUU
rfam:Ajellomyces capsulatus NAm1 scaffold_5 genomic scaffold, whole genome shotgun sequence.